rnacentral:tRNA from 1 species
GCCCUAGUAGCUCAGCCCAGAGCGCCGGUCUUGUAAUCCGGAGGCCGGAGAUUAGAAUUCUCCCUAGUGCU